CAAACUGAGGAGCGCUGCAACGGAUAAUUCCGUGAGGCUCGGUAUGCGAGGACAUUGUAACAACGGCGCUCGUUCAUA
rnacentral:ncRNA from 2 species